CAGCCCAUCGGGGCCUCGGAUACCUGCUUUUUUCCU
rnacentral:ncRNA from 1 species